CAAGAGGUCAGCCUGCUGGCCAGUGCCCAGCCAGACCCCUCAAGUUAGCAUGGGUCUAGUGUCUGCUGGCAUGUCGUGAGGGUUCUUAGAAUGCUGAACAUCAGAGCAUUCAGGGUGGUUAGAGAUUAUUGUGACCACAAGAACGCACCUUGCAGACCUCCAACUACAGGAGGCCCCAGAUGCUGUGCUUUGAAAUCCAUCUCUGCAUUUGUGCUGAGGCCAUACCUAUCACGGGCUGCUCCCAGCCAACGACUGGCACAACAUGGAUAUAAGACGGACCUGUUCCUGGGAGACAGGGGCUCUUCUGACAGCUGACUUUGGCUUGAGGACUCCCUGAGGUCUUGAUGAACCUUCCUUACACAGCACAUGGUUUAGGAGGCUUCAACUUAACCCUCCUUCCCUCUCUCCUCGCUCAGGAUCAGACUUGCAUCUCAGUCUGAAGGCUCCCAGCAUACCCUGGCUUCCUCUCUGUUUUGUCUCAUAGUCAUCUAUGCUCAUAACAUCCUUGCACGAUCUAUCCCCUCUUGGUGUCUGCUUCUUGGAGGACUAACUCAGGAAUCAUGUGGUAACUGCUUCAUUUUAUGGCUGAGAAAACUGAAGGUCAGAGAGGCAAAGGGAUUUUUCCAAGGUCACACAGUGUCUUCUUCAUUUCCUAGAGUUGCUAAAACAGAAAUACCACAAGUAGGUCGCUUUAAAGAACAGAAAUUAAUUUUAUCACAGUUUUGGAAGCUAAAAGUUCGAAUCAGGUCUCAACCAUGUAUAUUUCUUCCUUAUUGGUAGCCUUGGUGAUCCUUACAUGUGCCCACCUCUGUGUCUAACCUGCUCCUUUUACAACUCAGAAGUGAUUAGCUUUAGGACACACCCUAUAUUUGUAUGGGCCCAUCAACCUAACAAAGGAAACCCUAUUUCCAAACAGGAUUAUAUCCACAGGUAUAAGGUUAAGUUUCCAAUACAUACUGGGGGCAAAAAACAAAAACAAACCAAACCCACUGUUGUCGAGUCGAUUCUGACUCAUAGUGACCCUACAUACUGGGGAGGGGGGGCAUAAUUCAACCCAUAACACACAGUAAACUAGAGUAAAGCAGGGAAUGGGUCUUCCACCUGGCAGGCCAUAUUUGUUUUCUUUACAUUGUGUGCACUUGUAAAGAGAGGGGAGAGAAGGGAUGAGACUCAUGGGAGAGUUUCUUCAGAAUAAGGCCCCUCACACUUGCCUCUAGACUGAGCACCAAGAGGAUAAAGACGGUGUCUGCCUUUGUUAUCCACUUGUCCCAGACAAUCCUGUCUCCAAAGCUUGGGCCCCUUCCCACAUGGCCUACCUGAUAUAAUAAACACAAUAGCACCAUUCAAAGAAAACCAGUUGCUGUUGAGUCAAUUCUGACUCAUGGAGACCCCACAUGUGUCAGAGCGGAACUGUGCUUCAUAGAGUUUCCAAUAGCUGAUUUUUUGGGAGGUAGAUCACUAGGCUUGUUUUCUGAGGCAACUCUGGGUGGACUGGAACUGCUGAUCUUUUAGGUAGCACCUGAGCAUCUUAAUAGUUUGUGCUACCCAGGGACUCCAUUCAAAUGUGAAGGGUUAUCAAUGCUAUUGAGAUCAAGGCAAAGGGAAGUGGAGUAGACAGCCACCAGCAAAUGAGUGUGUAGAGAGCAGACCAGAAGGUACUAGGAAGGGGCAAGAUUGUCCCAGAGAAACAGGAGCACCAGCAUUUUCCCAGGGCCUUUCCGUUUUGGGGCAUAUGCUGACCUGUCAGGUAAGAGGCUACCUACUAAUUUCUUCCACACCUGGCCAGGAGCUGGGGCUGCUGCCUGAUUUCCAUCAUGCUAAUUGCCACCAUCUCCGCAGUGACACCAAGCUAUGUUUCAGAUAAGGCACUUCCUUAAUAGUCUCCCAUUUCCCUGCUGACACCAGAAAAUAGGCCUGACUUGGCCAUGUAUUACCGCACUGAGCGAGGCAGAGCUGUUACACCCAGCCUCACAGCCCAAACCAUUAGUGAACCUAGAAUCAAUAGUGCUCAGGCAACUCUUGUUUCCCUGAAAGCAUUCAUUUGGCAUGUUUGCUAUUUGUCAGGCAGUUCCUUUCUCUAAUGUCCCACAGUUUGUGGCCCUAGCUCCUGAGUCUCUCCUCCUUCCACAAAGUGCUUAGAGGCACUUUGCAAGUUCUAGACAACAUCAGCUUUUUUCAGAACAAAAGAAGAGUGAUAAGACAGCAUAUUCAUCAGCAGGUUCUAAUUAACGACUGUUUUGGUUACAGUUCUUUGGUUGCAAGCAACAGGAAUCAACUGUGGUGAACUUAAGCAAAGUAGGACCUAAUGGGAAGUCUCUUCAGAACACAGCAGUGAAGCUAGAUCAGUCCAGCCAACCUUCCUAAGAUUCAAGUUCAAGGGAGAGAGCAUCAAUUUGGUCUAGUUUGGGUCACUUGCCUACUCUUUGGCCAAAGGAGGGCGGGGCACCUAGAUAAUCUGUGUCUACAAAGUUGGAGUAAUGAUUCCAGAAGAGGAGAAAAUGGAUGUGGAUCAGGCACAUGGCAGUUCACAAGAGAGACAAACAUCAGGGAGGUAGGGAGGCCCAAAGAAGGUGUGAAUGACCCAAACCCAUUGCUGUUGAGUCUAUUCCGACUCAUAGCAAUCCUAUAGGACAGAGCAGAACUGCCCCAUAGGUUUUCUAAGGAGCAGCUGGUUGUAUUUGAACUGCUGACGUUUUGGUUAGCAGCCAAGCUCUUAACCACUGUGCCACCAGGGCUCCAUACUAAUGACCCAGCAUGUGGUAAUUUACCCCCUCUGGCCUGUAGAAAAGUCCUUAGAUGGCGCAAGCACUGUUAACUUAAAGGUUGGCGGUUCAAACCCACCCAGUGGCACCAUGAAAGAAAGGCCUGGUGAUCUGCUUCUGUCAAAAUUACAGCCAAAAAAACCCUAUGGAGCAGUUCUACUCCAUAACACAUGGGGUUACCAGGAGUCAGAAUCAACUCGAUGCCAAUGAGUUGGGCCUUUAGAUCUACCAGAUCUGUUAAAGUGCUUGGCACUCAACACAUUUUCAGUAAACACUAGCUAAAAAAAAACAAACCCAUUGCUGUCUAGUUGAUUCCGACUCAUAGCAACCCUAUAGAAUAGAGUAGAACCGUCACGUAGGGUUUCCCAGGCUGUAAUCGUUACGGAAGCAGACUGCCACAUCUUUCUCCUUGGGAGAGGCUGGUGGGUUUGAACUGCUGACCUUUAGGUUAGCAGCUGAGUGCUUAACCACUAUGCCAGCAGGGCUCCUUCAAAUGACAGCUAGGACCUUUUUUUUCCCCUUGAGUUAUUGCUAUUGUAGCAUAAUUUCCAACACUGUUCUUGUUGUUAGCUGCUCUCAAGUCAGCCCCCAACUCAUGGAUGCCCCAUGAACAACAUGAUUGGAACAUUGUGAUCCACAGGGUUUUCACUGGCUGAUUUUUGGAAGUAGAUCAACAGACCUUUCUUCCUAGCCCAUCUUAGUCUGGAAGCUCCACUGAAACCUGUUCAGCAUCAUAACAACACUCAAGCCUCCACCAACAGGAAUUGAACCCCCGGAGCUUUCGCAUGGAAGGUGAUAAUUCUACUGCUGAACCACGCUAGGCAAAGUUAAAGUUCCUGACAGAAGACUGGAAACCUGACAUAAUUAUUGUUCUGCAAUACAUAAAGAAUCCUGCUAAGCACUGUGACUAACUCUUUCUUAAGAUUGCUGCUAAGUGUAACAGGUAAGGGGAACGAUUUGAGAUUUUUGAAGACUUGGGUGAGACAUGAAGAACUUGAAGCCUUGAAGAGGAUAUAGAAGAACAUUGUGAACCCUACUUCUCAACAGAGAUCUUUAAGCAGAAUGGAAUUUCAUCUGUGAGGGAUAACUUAACCCUAUCCAGCACUAUCCUUCAGAAUUUGUACUGUAAUUGCUUGUUUACUUCCCUGAAUCACCUUCUACACUGCCAGCUCCUUGAAGGAGGAGGGCAAAGACUGGAGUCUGUUUACUGCUGUAUCAUUGGGGCCCCGCACACGGUGUGGCACACAGUAUGUGCUCAGAAAAAGAUUUGUUGACGGAAUGAUUAAAUGAUGAGCAUCUGGAUUACACGAGCUUUCGAGGCCACUGGUUGGCUAAUGUGGAGCCCUGGAGGCACAAUGGUUAAAGAGCUUGGCUGCUAACUGGAAGGUCAGCAGUUCAAAUCCACCAGCCGCUCCUUGGAGACUCUAUGGGGCAGUUCUACUCUGUCCUAUAGGAUCACUAUGAGUUGGAAUCAACGCAAUGGCAACAGGUUUGGUUUUUUUGGGGGGUUUUGGUGGGCUAAUGGCAAAGGGUUACAGGUACUGCUCUACAUCCAUCUGUGGAAACAGAAUAAAGUUUUCUGGUGUCAUCUUUCAGGGCUAUGAAGUAGACUUCACCAGGUUUUCUUAUCUGAAGCCUUGUUAAAGUGGAGGGGAGAGACAGAAUGGAGGGGAGGCAGGAAAAUUCAUGAUUCAGAGGUGGGACUUGGAGGAGAGGAAAUGGAUGGCAGAGGGAGGGGGUUGACAGGAAAUUCCUGUGAGAACCGGGGAGCGGGACCAUUGCCAGGAACUUCAUUUAGUUCUGGCCUGGAAACUGCUGACCACAAGUCCCCUCCUGAUUCAAAUGCCCAUAAGCUGGAGUGAGGGAGGCUGACCCUAUGCUAUACUUUCUCUCCAAGGAGAAAAUGUCCAAUAGCAAUACAAGGCAUGCCACAGGCAGUUCUUAACUAUAGGCCAUGUAUAGGUUGAAGGAAUAAACACUACAGGAGUUCAUAUGAGUUAGAGACCAUUGUGGUUAGAAGUGGGCAGCGGUGGCUUUGUGGGGAAGAAGGGUGCUAUGGGCUGAACUGUGCUGCCCCAAAUAUGUGUUGAAGUUCUAACCCCUGUACCUAUAAAUAUGACCCUUUUUGGAAAUAGGAAUUUUCUUUUGUUAUGUUAAUGUACCAUGGCAGAAUGGCAUGGGUCCUACACCUAAUUGCUUCUAAGUGGUAUCUUAUAAAAAGAGCAGAAUAGCCACAGUGACACACUCACAGGGGAAAAACAGACAUCAUGUGAGGACCCACCUAUAACCAAAGAAGCACCAAGGAUUGUGGGCAGACACCAGAAUCUCGGAGAGAGGCCCACAGAAGGAAUCCAUCUAGCCGAGACCCUGAUUUGGACUUUUAGCCUUCAGAACUGUGGGAAAAUAAAUUCCUGUUCCUUAAAGCCACCCACUUGUGCUGUUUUGUUUUGUUUUUUAGCAGCAUCAGGGAACUAAGACAAAGGGGGAUUCAAAUUGGUCUUAUAUGAUGGGAGAGAUUUGUUUGGAUACAUGGUGAAAAAGAACAGGCAGAGGACAGAGCCUGAACAAAGCACAAAAGUAGAAAAGGACAGUUUGUCCUUCUAAGGCAGGUAGUUCCUAGCAAACUCAGGAAAGUGAAUAGUCAGAGAAAAGGUGAGAAGGGGAGGCUGUGGUCAAGGCAAGGAGAGUCCUUAAGGUAAAUUAAUAUUUUGGAUUCAUACAUAUAUUUCAUAAGUACUUCUUGGUGGCACAAUGGUUAAACACUUGGCUGCUAACAAAAAGACUGGUGGUUGGAACCCACUCAGUGGCUCCAUGGGAAAAAAGACCUGGCAAUCUUCUCCUGUAGAUUAAAAAAAAAAAAAUUUACAGCCCAGGAAACUCUAUGGGGCAGUUCUACUCUGCCAUAUAGGAUCACUAUGAGUCGGAAUUGGCUCAACACACAACAACAACAACCUACAUAUGAAUUAAUGAGUGAAUGAAUGAGUGUGAAAAUGAACAGAGGGUGAACAGGAAGGAAGGAGAUGGCUCGUCUACUGUUCAAAUAAUUCCGUCCAGCCCAAUGGUGACAAAAGGCUUUAAACAGUUAGCCUCCCAGGUGAGCUAUGCUCAGCUCGGUGCCACAGGGCUGGGAAGCUGCCUGAUAAGAGGUCUGGCUGGGAGGUGGCCAGGCUUAAAAACAAAGGUACUGGAGCUCCUGGGGCGAUGUUUGCAGCUGAGUGAAGGUCUCCAGAGAUCUCUUUCCUGUCAGCCAAUAGAGGGGCUCAGCCAAGUGGGUUAACGUGGUAAGCUAAGUAGAAUGGGCUAUUUCCCUAUGGUAAAAUUUUAGGGAUGCUGGGAAGGCUCCCUGCCUCCCAACUGCCCACUUUAUCCCUUGAUGGAACUGGAUAAUGCCUGAAAUUCUAUAACCAAAGUUUCAUUCUUAGCUAGAAACUUUGAUCAAUACACCAUUUAAAGCUGUUAUCGCUCAAUUACACCCUAUUAUAAAUGAAGGAAAACCCUGGUGGCAUAGUGGCUAAGAGCUACAGCUGCCAACCAAAAGGUCAGCAGUUUGACUCUACCAGGCGCUCCUUGGAAACCCUACGGGGCAGUUCUACCCUGUCCUAUAGAGUCACUAUGAGGUGGAAUCGACUUGAUGCCAAAGGGUCAGUUUGUUUUGCAAAUGAAGGAUCUCAACCACAUUUUGACAGGAAAGUUGGGAAAGGGAAGGAAAGAUGUAACCUGAGUAUCUGAGAUGCAAGAUUGUCAGAGACACUGAAAGUAGGGAAGAGAGUGGUGAGGAGGAAUCAUGACAAACUUUGCCAAGGGUGAUUUUGCCGAGUUUGAGCAACUGAUCCUCACACUAGCCAGACUGCCCAGUUAUUAGCAAAGAUGUUUCAUAAACUCAAUCUGAUUACAGCAUCAGCCAGAUGAUUUGCGUGACCACAUGAGGCAGCUAACACCGUAACCACUGGCCUCUAUAACGCGUACGGGAGCUUGGCUAAUCUGAACAUUAGCGGGUUGCGGCGGCUGGUGGACAGAUGCCUGCCACAAAAGCUCCUUACAUCAAGAGGUGAAGACUAUUCCUUUGGACCCAGGUCCCUGUGCUGAGAAGAUUGUCACUGGGGAAGGCUGAUGAUAAGGACCUUCCUCCAAAGCUGAGAAGAGAAAGCCUUUCCCUGAAGCCAGCGCCUUGAUUUUAGACUUGUAGCCUACUAGGCUGUGAGAGAAUAAAUUUCCUUUUGUUGAAGCCACCUACUUGUGGUAUUUCUGUUAGAGCAGCACUAUUAGUUCUCUCAAAGAACAGUUUUGUGCUUCUUUUGCUUCUGAGAAAGUGACCCAUGACUGUUAACAGGUAAACCCAGGAGAGGCAUCUUGCCCUUGCAGAGAAUACUUAAUAUAUUUUAAACAGAUUAACUGAAGAUCUCCAACAGGAAAGGUCCAUCCUGUGUUAUCUUGCUAAUCAUGUAUUCUGUAAUGGAAUCUUUGUUGUCACAUGUAAAUUUUUCUGUACCUUCUGUGUCCUCUAGACAAACUUUGUGUACUCCUUAAAAAAAAAAAAAAAAGAAA